rnacentral:lncRNA from 1 species
CUCCUCCCCUCGGCGGCGUGACAGCCUCGGCCUGCCGGACUCCCGGGUGGGCUGGGGGGCGGGCACAGGCACCCCGGCCACUUUGGAGGCUCGGGGAGAGGUUCGUAGAAGAGGCUGAGCGGACGGAGCGGAGGCGGUGCCAGGCGCCAGGCGUCCACCUGCGAGGAAGGCGCAGCGGCCGUGGGAGCCUGGGCGGCGGUGGCGGCAGCAUUGUGCUCCGAGCUGCAAGACCUGGAUUCAGAAUGCAGGCCAGGGAGGAGAUUCCAGAGUCCGGAUCCAGGUGGAAUGGAGGCCACAUUCACAGAGCGGGGGGUGGAGGGGGGCUGCUCUCCUCCCCCCCCCCCCCCCCCCCCCACGUAGAAGCAAGAAAAGAACGGAAAACUUCCCAGAGGCAUCCAGCAAAGGUGUCAAGGAAACAAGAGAGCAGGUCACAGCCACCAGCUCCCUGGGGACAGGAUUGCCAGCUCCCAGAGGACCUCGUCCUUCAUGGUUGCACUCCCACCCAGCACCCAGCACCCAGCAUUCAGCACCCAGCACUCAGCACCCAGCACCCAGCACUCAGCACCCAGCACUCAGCAUGGUGCAGGGCCUAUGGUCAAUAAACAUGAGUCACUUGGUCGAUUGAUUUGUUGAUUUGAUUGCAUGAGUAGAAGGAAGAAGGAAGGAAGGCCAUUCCUGCUUCCAGAUCCACUGUGUCCCUGCCCCAGCCCUAGAUUCCGGCCAGUGGGGAAUGUUAUUUUCAAGGUUCUUACUGCUACGGCACCAGAACAGUGAGCUCUUUAUUCAAGUCCACUCCACUCGCCCCUGACAAGGGGCCCACCUCCCUGUUGUGCAGCAGAGCCCCAGUAUCCAGUACUGAUGCCAGUUAAACUUGAAAGAGACUCAGCCUCUUUCUCUGUCCCCCAAACCCCAAGACACACGUAAGGACACUGAGGCCCAGAGAGGUAGGGUGACUUGCCAGGAGUCACACCACUAAAAUAUAGUUGUGCCAGAAAAGUUCGAGGGUCCCCCCCAUUCCUGGCUUGCUGCUUUUCCAAGCACAACAGGGCAGACGGAGGAGAAGAGGGUGAGAAGAGGAAAUGCUUCGUCUCUAGGGAUAUCCCAAGGAGAUGAGCCCAUAAGUUCUCUUUCUCCUUUUCGCAGCUCCGAACACAGGUCUCUGACCCGUGAGAGGCAGGAAGUUCCUCCUGAUACCUAACCUCCAUCCCCACUGGCAAAUUCCAGACCGUUUUCCUCUUGGACUGCCCUGCCUGGGGAAGAACAGCUGGGUCCCUCUCUGCACAAUAAAUGCCUUCAGACCCUGGCGACUCAUUAUUCAAGCCCCCAUCCCCUCCCCACCCCCACCCCUCUCUAGUGCGCAGGCUGAGAACCCCGGGUCCUCUGGGCCCCUUUCCAAAUGACUUCCAUCACCACCCAGCAGCUGACGUGAUAAACGGUGUGUGGGGGAGGGAUGGGAAAGACCUGGAGUGAUGGUGGGUAUUGAUCCAUCGGUGAGCGGGAGGCCUGCACUGCCUCCUGGGG